GACUAUAGUUUUAUCACAUUAUAAGCAACAUGGUGAGAGUGGAAAGAAGGAAUCUUAGAAAAACUAUUGGUAUCAGGUUUUUCGUAUGAUCCCAUGCUGCAGAUACCCCUCCCUUCAUUCCUCACCAUUGGCCAUGCCGCCUGGGACUGAUGGUAACUGGAGUCCCAACAACAUCGUGGGAGAUCCCUGAACUAGAGCAUGACAAAGACAAGCCCUAAUAAUAGGAUUUCAUUACUAUGCUUAUCUGGGAAUGAGCCUACGAGGUGCGGGAGCGGAACAAUGUAGUCAGAUAACGAGGGUUUGGGGUGACAUCUUUUAAUUUAGCUUUUAAUUUCCUUAUAAUGCAGGAUUUACACUGCAGCCCGUGGCAGCUCCUUGCAGUAUCACGGUGAACCUGGGAUGCUAUGAUAAUUGGUAACUAUUACAUCUGAUGUAUCAUAAUGACUUGGCAUAUCACAUUGCUAGGUCUUGUGUUAAUUUUCCUGGUCCACCAAAUGUUGACAAAUGUCAAAGUAAACUUGUGUUCCCUGUGGAUUUCAUUUUUCUUUUGUAGAUUUCUAAAAGCAUAAUAACUGUCAUGAAAUCUGGCAGCCGGGCACUGGGAUAUUUUUAAGUCUCUGGUUUCAGGCAAAAUUCCUAGAACGGAUCAGAUUCCAUUAUCUGAAACUGACUCUAAAGCAAGAGACCUCAUUACUAGGAAAGAAAGAAAAAAAAGACUGUUGUGCGAUGCCUAUGAAUUCUGGUUCAUGAGUAUUUCCAACCAAUUCUUUUGACAUUUAGUGUAACACUGAGUUUCUGUAGAACAAGAAAAGGUAACUGUAGCUAUCUGCGUGGAGCGUUCAUGGGGAUGCAGAUUGUUCAUGAAUAAUAAUUUUGAGCACAAAUUCUUGCUCCAGAGAUGCUAUCUUCAUGCAUGGUUCCAGUAAAUUAAGAACCCCACAUAUUAUGAUCCAAGAAUGCAUAGGGACCUUAUGUUUCAGAUCCAUGAUCUUGGCAUACUUGGGUCCACGUGAAUCAGCUGUGUUGAUAUUGUUCAGGCUGUUAGGCCUCUGCUCCUAAAACUAACACAGGUGAGCUGUAUGACCUGCCUAUCAAACAUUAAAGGAUGCUAACCCGCCAACAGGUUGUGGGCCAUCAACCACCCUGACUUGGACAGGUUUUUUACUGUUUACUACUAAAGAUAGCUGCUGCUGUUUUUAUCUAUUAUUAUUUUUUUGUACCCCACUGUUCAGGUACCUAACAGCAAAAAAAUAUUGACACAA